GAUGAACGCUGGCGGCGUGCUUAACACAUGCAAGUCGAGCGAGAAAAGUUCUUCGGAGUUUUUCUAGCGGCGGACGGGGGAGUAACACGUGGGCAACCUGCCUCAUAGAGGGGAAGAGCCUUCCGACUGGAAGAGUAAUACAGCAUCACAUUGUGGAAAGGCAUCUUUUAACAAUCAAAGGAGCAAUCCGCGAUGAGAUGGGCCCGAGGCGCAUUAGCUAGUUGGGGAGGUAACGGCUCACCAAGGCGACGAUGCGUAGCCGACCUGAGAGGAUGAUCCGCCACAUUGGCACUGAGACACGGUCCAGACUCCUACGGGAGGCAGCAGUGGGGAAUAUUGCACAAUGGGGGAAACCCUGAUGCAGCAACGCUGCGUGAGUGAUGAAGGUCUUCGGAUUGUAAAGCUCUGUCUUUAGGGACGAUAAUGACGGUACCUAAGGAGGAAGCCACGGCUAACUACGUGCCAGCAGCCGCCGUAAUAC
rnacentral:rRNA from 1 species